AGGAAGAGUUGAUCAAGACGGCCCUCAGGGAGGGAACCGCUGGCGGUGGUGAUGUUGCGCGCGGAUUUUCUAGGGUAGCGAACUGAAAGGGCGCUUUUUCUGCGCGCUGGCUCCCCGUGCCCCGCACCGGCCAUGCGCCCGGCCUUCGCGGUGGGCCUGGUGUUCGCAGGCUGCUGCAGUAAUGUGAUCUUCCUAGAGCUGCUGGCCCGAGACUGUGUUAAGUGCUUUCCUGGGACCUGUUCAUCCGUGCAACAAUAAACCAGAGAGAGAAGCACUCAUACUGUCUCCAUUUUAAAGAAAAUGGCAUUUAGAAGUUUACUACCGUCCACACCACGCAGACACAUCCAGGAUGCGGGAACAUCGUCACGUUUGCGCAGUUCUUAUUUAUUGCUGUGGAAGGCUUCCUUUUUGAAGCUAACUUGGGAAGGAAGCCACCAGCUAUCCCAAUAAGGUACUAUGCCAUCAUGGUAACCAUGUUCUUCACUGUCAGCGUGGUGAACAACUAUGCCCUGAACCUGAACAUCGCCAUGCCGCUGCAUAUGAUAUUCAGAUCAGGCUCUCUGAUUGCCAACAUGAUUCUAGGAAUUAUCAUUUUGAAGAAAAGAUACAGUAUGUUCAAGUAUACCUCCAUUGCCCUGGUGUCUGCAGGGAUAUUUAUUUGCACUUUCAUGUCAGCAAAGCAGGUGACUGUCCAGACCGGCUUGAGUGACAAGGAUGGAUUCCAGGCCUUUGCAUGGUGGUUACUAGGUAUUGCGGCACUGACCUUCGCUCUGCUGAUGUCGGCAAGAAUGGGCAUCUUCCAAGAGACUCUGUACAGACAGUUUGGGAAGCACUCCAAGGAGGCGUUAUUUUAUAAUCACGCCCUUCCACUUCCCGGGUUCAUCUUCUUGGCCUCUGAUAUUUAUGACCACGUUGUCCUGUUCAAUAAGUCUGAACUCUAUCAAGUUCCAGUCAUCGGUGUGACGAUGCCCGUCAUGUGGUUCUACCUCCUCAUGAAUGUCGUGACUCAAUAUGUGUGCAUCCGGGGUGUGUUCAUCCUUACAACAGAGUGUACCUCCCUCACCGUCACACUGGUUGUGACUCUGCGCAAGUUUGUGAGCCUCAUCUUUUCUAUCUUGUACUUCCAGAACCAGUUCACUAUGUGGCACUGGCUGGGCACCUCGUUUGUCUUCAUUGGAACCUUAAUGUACACAGAGGUGUGGAAAAACCUCGGGACCACAAAAAGUGAGCUGCAAAAGGAUGACAAGAAGGACUGAGGUCUGCCUGGGACAGACAGACAGACGGUGUUAUGUGAGAGCGGCCUCUGCUGCAGGUCUGGCCACCAUUUCACUUUAGCUGAUGCCAAAUUACCAGAGUAUUGAAGCAGAAAGGCUCCAGAGCUUCCUCCAAAAGGAUGGGACUCAUCUGCUCUCACGAGUCUGCAUUUGUAGAUUCCACAUAGGCAUCCCUGAGAUAGAAUAAACAAAACAAGCAAGGCUACCAGGCAGACCGUCGGGCAGCCUCUGCAUUUGCUUUUCUAUUUCUUUGCCAGAACAUCAGAACCAUAUUUGUUGAAUUCCAAGUCUCAGAGCUUCUAGUUUUCUACCUGUGUCGCACUUGUUGCUACCGAUGCCUUUUUGCUAUGUACCUCUUUCCUCCCGUCACCCCUGCACACUUAAGCACUUUGCAGCACAGCCAACAUUCCAGGCACAAUCAGGCACUGAGUGAUCCAGUGGACAUGCGAAAAAUUAGACCCCAGGAGUGAUGAGGCCGGACUCCCUCCAGCGUGUUGGUGUUGGGAGAGAAGCAGUUGUCCCCAUGAGCAGAUCUGUGAGCUGGAUGCCGGUGAUGCUGGAGUAGACGGCUGGAUCCCACCACGCACAUUUCACGUUAUUUGAUUAGUCAAUGCAAAGAUCACACACUUCUUUCACCUGUUGCUUUCUGUAGUUAGAGCAGUCCUGCAGCGCUCAUUGCACAUUAGAAAGGAAGAAAACUUGAAAGUGGAUCGAGAAGAGGGAGACCUUUCCUUCCAUCUCCCACGUGAAGCCCCUUGGCCUGUUUACGGAGAUGGAGAAGGAAGUGUGGCCCAAUACAGCUCACUCUUUCAGCACCCUGAGAGACUGUUGCCCCUGUGAACCCAGCCACACACUUCCAUGGGACUCCUGUGGGUUUCAAAUAUGUGUCUGUGAGAGGCGUUAAGACCUGGUAGCCAGAAGAUACUUCUGAGAAUUGUCACCUGUCAAGUCAUCGAUGAUGAUUGAUUGAUACACAGGCGUGAGUGUGCUCAAACCCCAGCUGCGGCAGGGUGAAGUCUUCUUGUUCCAUAGAUAUGGGACUGCUUUUGGGUGUGCCUGGGAGGUGGCAUGACACAGCAUGUUUACAUACAGAAACAGGCCUGGCUCUUUUCCGCUGAUCACUCUGAAGGUCUGAUUGUCCUCUCUUGGAUCCCCUUGAGGAAGAGUAACCCUGUCACACAGCAUGUGGCGCUUGUGUGCCCUUAGCUGGAUUGUAUGUGAUUGAAGAACAAGAACAUUGUGUUGCUUUCUUUCCUCGUCCCCACUUAGGGCCAGACCCUCAUUACCCUCACCUAGCCAUCUGCUCCUCUGCAAACAGCUACACACAAUGUUUCUCUCGCACAGACGACAGCCUUCCAUUCUUCCACUAUGUGCUGACUGUGCUCAGACUGAGGAGUGGCUCUCCAUCUCCUCGGCUCACUGUAGCUCUUUGUUGCACCCUCUGAAGAUGCUCUUUGAUGGGUCUGAACAGCAGCAGCAAAGAGAACUAUCCCAAUCCUCUGGGUCCCCUGGGAAGGCAAAGAGAACUGUCCUAAUCCUCUGGGUCCCCUGGGAAGGCAGUUAAGACUUUUUUCUGUUACAUUAAAUGCAGAUACUGUUUCUCCACCUAAGUCCCCAGGUUUGCAGACUGAUUGUCAUUCUGGCCAUUGACAGCUUCCCAGUGCUGGUAAUGGUCUGUUCUCAAAGACCUGAAUUAGAUGUGAACCCAUUCACAGUCCCAGAAGCUCUGUAGCUACUUUGAAAUAUGUGGGGUUGCCUGGACCAAUGUUGCUAUAAAUACCAAGUGUUAAAAGCCCCCUUAAAAAGACAGUAAUAAAAAGUACUUUUUUCUUCCAGUUUAACAGAAGAAUCUGUCCCUCGGGGCUCUUGAGGCUCCAUUCUGAUUACUCCUAACAGGCUAUAACCUUCAGUUACCUAGAGCUUCCCUUUUUAUGUUGGGAGAAGUAGCACACAGCUUGUAGUUCCCUGAGACUGGCUGAUACAAUCUAACUGGACCGGUUAGGGUUUCAGAAUGUGUAUCCCUUUGUGGGUUUUGUUGAAGGAGAUGUAAGAACAGAUAAGAGUGCGGGCUCUGCUGGCUCAAGCUAGCAAGUGCCCCAGCUGCUUCCUGCCGUGCAGUAGACAGAAGAAAAUGUAACCGGCACUAGUUACAGUUUUGUAAAAUUGCCCUUCUAAAGGUUCUGUUUUCCUUCUCAUUGUGUAUGCUUGUUGCACAGGGCCCUGUGGUUGGACACUUCCCUGCAGUUGAGUACUUCCCCCAAGCUCUCCUCUCCCCGUGUUAGGUCCUGCUGUUCCCCUGAACAGUUUUGCCUUCUACCUUCAGAUCGCAUACACACCGUGGUUUCAUGUCUCUCUACAAAGCUCAGGAGCUACAAAUAAGAGCACACAUAUGCUGUUUGUCCUCCCUACACCAGCUAACCCCUUAAUAGGACCAUCUCUGGAUACAUCCAUAAAAUCACUCUUUAUAAAAGUCAUUUCUCUUUGCCA